AUAUUGUAUGUUGAGUGCAGGUGAGAAGCUGCGUUCAAGUUCGAGCCGAGCGAAGCGAGACAGCGUUGCGCUUGUCGCAACGACCCGAAGGGCGAGGGCAAAGCCCGAGUCAUCCUGCACGACCCACCA
rnacentral:sRNA from 1 species